GUGCCCCGCUUCGCACUGCGUCGCCCCGGCCUGCCGGUGCCAAAAUCAUUUUCAGCCCCGGCCGAGGGGGGCUGCUUCGCGAAGGUUUUUUUUUCCUUCGCUGGGGUGUGACUUGAGCUAGCGGGAGGCAGGGGGAGGUUCUCCUGGCCGGCGAAGAGUUUUGCCGCGCUUGCUGAGGAGGAGGAAAGCAGGGGCAACCAGGCGCGCGCAGCAGGCCCCCUCGGGGUCCGCUCACCUGGGCCAGAGGCCUAACAGUCCUGCAAAAGUCAAUGAUCUAAUCUCCCCACUGUAGCUCUUCUUUGAUCCCCUCAACAAUGCACUUGCAAAUCAGCUGUCGCGCGAAACCAUUCUGUGUCCCAAUCAGCAGAGAAUGCAAUGGGAAAACCGUAUGAUGCAGCACGCUGUGCAAAAAGAAUGUCAAUCGCACGAUUCCCAAGCAAGGGAUCCUCGUAGGCUUUCAUGGCGUUGUUGUUGUUGUUGUUUAGUCGUGUCCGACUCUUCAUGACCCCAUGGACCAGAGCACGCCAGGCACUUCUGUCUUCCACUGCCUCCCGCAGUUUGAUCAAACUCAUGCUGGUGGCUUCGAGAACACUAUCCAACCAUCUCGUCCUCUGUCGUCCCCUUCUUGUGCCCUCCAUCUUUCCCAACAUCAGGGUCUUUUCCAGGGAGUCUUCCCAUGAGGUGGCCAAAGUAUUGGAGCCUCAGCUUCAGGAUCUGUCCUUCCAGUGAGCACUCAGGGCUGAUUUCCUUAAGAAUGGAUACGUUUGAUCUUCUUGCAGUCCAUGGGACUCUCAGGAGUCUCCUCCAACACCAUAAUUCAAAAGCAUCAAUUCUUUGGCGAUCAGCCUUCUUUAUGGCCCAGCUCUCACUUCCAUACAUCACUACUGGGAAAACCAUAGCUUUAACUAUACGGACCUUUGUUGGCAAGGUGAUGUCUCUGCUUUUUAAGAUGCUGUCUAGGUUUGUCAUUGCUUUUCUCCCAAGAAGCAGGCGUCUUUUAAUUUCGUGGCUGCUGUCACCAUCUGCAGUGAUCAUGGAGCCCAAGAAAGUAAAAUCUCUCACUGCCUCCAUUUCUCCCCUUCUAUUUGCCAGGAGGUGAUGGGACAAGUGGCCAUGAUCUUCGUUUUUUUGAUGUUGAGCUUCAGACCAUAUUUUGCGCUCUCCUCUUUCACCCUCAUUAAAAGGUUCUUUAAUUCCUCCUCACUUUCUGCCAUUAACAAAGUGUAUGCCUUCUCAAAGCCUCCAUCGAAACACAGGCUACUAACAUCUUUUUCUGUGGGCGGCUCACAAAAAGUAAGGUCCUGAAUGUGAAUUCUAGGUGUUUUGAUUCUACUAGAUCCAGCUUGCUAGAGCCAUCUGUUUUAAUUUUACAAAAUUCCACUGAUUACUUACUGUUGAGCCUAAGCAACACUUGAAUUAUGAGGGUGUGGGGGCAUAAUGAAACCCACUCCAACACCUCCCAAUUUUAGCCAAAUUGCAGGUCUGAUGAAAAUGGGGCCCAGGUGGGUCUCGCCUCCUGUAAUUCAAAUAUUAUGUAUGGGCAGAGCCCUACAAAUAUCCUCAAGAUUCAUGCCAAAGAUGUUCUCUUGAGAUGCAUCAAUAAGCCUUUGUUACUAGAGCAUGAUUGCAAUAACUUCUCAGAAUUGAACACAUAAAGCUGAUUUCUACCAAGUUGGUCUAUCUUGUCUGAUAAUGUCAAUUAUAUUAAGGCAUGGUCUUUCAAGAUCUCAGGAGGUGCCUGCCAUUUUGAACUAGAGCCCUUGAAACAUGAAUAUUCUAUCAUUUAACUAUUGUUCUUCUGAUUCACCUAAUUAAGAGAAAUAAAGCCAGUUUUGAUAAAUAAGCAUUAGUAAGCAUUCCAACUUUCUGUCUCUAAAUAAUGUAAUUAUUGUUUUAUAUGCAAAUUUCAGGUAGUGGCACCCUCCCUGUAGAACACCCUUCGGAUGCCAAUGAGAUAAAGAACUAUACAACUUUUAGAAGACAUCUGAAGGCAGCCCUGUUUCGGGAAGUUUUUAAUGUUUGAUGUUUGAUUAUGUUUUUAUAUAUGCUGUAAGCCGCCCG